CCACCAUCUAGCCCCCCUGGGCCCCUCAUGCCUCCAUAAAUAUAGCAAAAUCUUACUGAAUUCAAGCCAGAAGCUGUAUAUCUGCAUGCUGUUUGCCUAAAAAAAAAAGCAGUCUGCUGACAUCAUCAGAUGUUGUAGCCUGAUCCAAUCACAGUGCUUCCCCAUAGAUUUGGCUGAGAGUGACAAAGAGGCAGAUCAGGGGCAGAGCCUGGCCAAUCAGCAUCUCCUUAUAGAGAUGAAUUGAAUCAAUGAAUCUCUAUGAGGAAAGUUCAGUGUCUGCAUGCAGAGGGAGGAGAUACUGAAUGUUUGGAUGCAUUUUAGGCUGCCAUGAUCCAGGAAGGAUCUUUAACAGCCAUCUGAGGAGUGAUGUAGAAGGACCAAGAUUCCUUCUACAUCACAAAUACUAUUUUGGGACUAUACUGUACAAUUUUCAAACCAAUCUUAAAGGAUUACUAUAGGGUCAGGAACACAAACAUGUAUUCCUGACCCUAUAGUGUUAAAACCACCAUCUAGCCCCCCUGGGCCCCUCAUGCCUCCAUAAAUAUAGCAAAAUCUUACUGAAUUCAAGCCAGAAGCUGUAUAUCUGCAUGCUGUUUGCCUAAAAAAAAAAAGCAGUCUGCUGACAUCAUCA